CUACGGGACGCUGCAGUGGGGAAUCUUAGACAAUGGGCGCAAGCCUGAUCUAGCCAUGCCGCGUGAGUGAUGAAGGCCUUAGGGUCGUAAAGCUCUUUCGCUGGGGAAGAUAAUGACGGUACCCAGUAGAGAAACCCCAGCUAACUCCGUGCCAGCAGCCGCGGUAAUACGGAGGGGGUUAGCGUUGUUCGGAAUUACUGGGCGUAAAGCGCGCGUAGGCGGACUGUUAAGUCGGGGGUGAAAUCCCGGGGCUCAACCCCGGAACGGCCUUCGAUACUGGCAGUCUGGAGUUCGAGAGAGGUGAGUGGAAUUCCGAGUGUAGAGGUGAAAUUCGUAGAUAUUCGGAGGAACACCAGUGGCGAAGGCGGCUCACUGGCUCGAUACUGACGCUGAGGUGCGAAAGUGUGGGGAGCAAACAGGAUUAGAUACCCUCGUAGUC
rnacentral:rRNA from 1 species